CGUAACAAGGUCUCCGUUGGUGAACCAGCGGAGGGAUCAUUACCGAGUUUACAACUCCCAAACCCCUGUGAACAUACCUUAUGUUGCCUCGGCGGAUCAGCCCGCGCCCCGUAAAAAGGGACGGCCCGCCGCAGGAACCCUAAACUCUGUUUUUAGUGGAACUUCUGAGUAUAAAAAACAAAUAAAUCAAAACUUUCAACAACGGAUCUCUUGGUUCUGGCAUCGAUGAAGAACGCAGCAAAAUGCGAUAAGUAAUGUGAAUUGCAGAAUUCAGUGAAUCAUCGAAUCUUUGAACGCACAUUGCGCCCGCCAGUAUUCUGGCGGGCAUGCCUGUUCGAGCGUCAUUUCAACCCUCAAGCCCAGCUUGGUGUUGGGAGCUGCAGUCCUGCUGCACUCCCCAAAUACAUUGGCGGUCACGUCGAGCUUCCAUAGCGUAGUAAUUUACACAUCGUUACUGGUAAUCGUCGCGGCCACGCCGUUAAACCCCAACUUCUGAAUGUUGACCUCGGAUCAGGUAGGAAUACCCGCUGAACUUAAGCAUAUCAA
rnacentral:rRNA from 1 species